GCUGUGGAAUGCAAGAUGGCGGCGCCUAGUCAGUCGGUGCCUGAAUUAGCAGCUCGGCUCAAUGAGUUAACACGGAGUAGCCAAAAAGAGGACCUUGUGCUGGUUGCUAUGACAUCAAUCCAGAGUUUGACUAUCGCAUUCAGAGAGCAACAGAAUAGGGAGGAGGCAGCAGAAUAUCUAUUUGAAAGUUUUGUAUACAUCCUAACAAAACAGUUGGCUGAGAUAGAGGUGUUCACUGACAAUCCUGACAGUAACAGGAACAGACAACUUGAAGCUUGUUUGCAGCUCACUGCUGAGUGCUUCCGAUGUCUCAGAAAUGCCUGUAUACAAUGUGGCAAGAACCAGUCUCAUGGAAGAAAUGUAGGACUGAUUGUCCCAACUAUCCAGAUUCUCCAGUUUCUUCACAGAUUAAGUCAUUUCCAGAGCGAUACCUUGUUAGCAGCUUUUCGAUGUGGCCUUCAGUUCCUUGGAAACCUUGUAGCUGGCAAUGAGGAGUCUAAGCAUAAUGUGUGGAAAAAUGCCUUUCCGGAUCUUUUCCUGAAUUACAUGAAUCAUUCAGACAAGAAAGCUGUUACCUAUUGCUGCAUGGUUCUGUUCACCUGUCUUAAUGCUGAGAGAACAGCUGACCUAUUAAGCCACACGAAAGGAGUUGAACUGGCUGAAACUGUCAUCAAGAUAUGUAGGAGAGAACCUGAACUAGAAUGGGCGUUUCUGAUUGUAACAGACCAGUUUCUCAAAUGUCAGGAUUUCGUGGCUAUGACGUACACUAAAUUGAACAAUCAAGAAAGGAUUAUUGUAUUGGAUCUGAUAUCUGUAAAGUUGAGUGAGAUACUGGGAUCUCCAGCUGACAGUGAUGAAUUGACUGCUGCUGUGAGGAUGAUGCAAUUUCUGGCAGGCUGUUUCCUAGAGAAAUGCAUGGCAGUGUUGAAAUUUGCCUCCACUACAAAUGAAGAGGAUGAGGAAGCCCUUACUGUGAUCAGGCUGCUUGAUAUUCUUUGUGAAACAACCUCAAAUCAUGAAAAAUUCAGUUGUUUGCAGAACUCACCUGGUCUGCUAGAGACUGUUGUUGAACUUUUGUAUCAGACACAUUUUGCAGGAAAGCAAAGCAGGAAUAUCUUCAGUGUAUCCCAAUCUUUAUCGUCCACCCCUCAUACCUCCCACCCUGCUAUGGGUUUUAAAGCUCAUUUGAUCCAUUUGAUUGGGAAUCUUUGUUACAACAAUAAUGAAAACCAAGAUAAGGUCCGAGAAUUGGGUGGCAUUCCACUUAUCCUGGACAACUGCAGCAUCGAUGACAACAACCCUUUUAUGAGCCAAUGGGCAGUUUUUACCAUCCGAAUCCUUACAGAACAGAAUAUGAAGAAUCAAGAAGUGAUAUCCCAAAUGGUACAUCAGGGUGUGGCAGACAGUGCUAUGCUAAACAACAUGGGAUUACAAGUCGAAGAACGAGAUGGGAAACUUUACGUGAAAUCGCAGGGAAAGAGCUCAACUUCAUCAUGAGAAAGCUUCUUGCAGAUGCUGUUCGAUUGUUUUUCAAAGUUGUUUUGAGAAGAGCUAAAAGGAUGAUGCCACUGAGGGACAGCAUGUGGAUGAGAAGUAGGACCGGAUCGAGGAUACAUCCUUGGGAAAUACCAGAGGUAAUGGUGCAGAAGCAGGAAGAAAAGCUAUUGCAGGCGAUUCUCACGCUAUGAUUGAAUUGAUAAGAAUGGAAUCUUGCGAGUGCAAUCCUACUAGCAGGAUGGCGGUGGGGAGACAUUGAAGGAGAUUGUUGUGGUCAACCAUGUUGCAGAUGGGGCAAGGAGGAAUAUUUUACCUUUGUCACAGUCAAAUAAGAUGCCAUUUGUGACUUUGCUAAGAGUUGAAUGCUAAGAAGAAAUUGCAUAUGUACAUCUAGGAGGAAGCCCCUUCAAAGCCAGUUUAUUAAUGUGUUAAUUACACAUCAUCCCUGCCCUUUUUUUUAAACAAUGCUCGAAUACACUAUACGCUCUUAAAAAUCAUUAAAAGUAACUUGUCACCACCACCCCCAACCCCAAAAUGCUUUCUGUGAAAAAAUGGCUAAAAACCCUGAAACACGAUUGACAAUUUUAUUCUCAUUGGAAGAUGGACUUCAGAGAGUACAGCAGCCAUAUCACCAGUGCACCCAAGGCUAUUAAGAGACAGGAGACCUAGAGCCUCCAACAGAUGUCCAGAAAAGGAUUUUAAAAUUCAGGGGGUGCUGAGGCCCAGAAGGGAAGCCUCUCCAAGAAGGUCCUUGAGGUUACAGGGACUGAUUUCCCUGUCAAGGCCCCUUCUUUGGGCUAUGGAGCCUCCAGGAUGCUGCCUUCAUUAAGUCCUGCAGUCGACAAAGUGCUGGUGGGACUGUAGGAUAGUCCUUCGUAAGGCCCUUAAUUAUGCAAUUCACUGCCUACCUCCUCGGCUGCUACACAUCUGGUCCCACUGCUGGGA